rnacentral:rRNA from 1 species
UUUUGGACAAUGGGCGCAAGCCUGAUCCAGCCAUUCCGCGUGAGUGAAGAAGGCCUUCGGGUUGUAAAGCUCUUUCGCAAGGGAAGAAAACUUACUUUCUAAUAAAGAGUGAGGUUGACGGUACCUUGAUAAGAAGCACCGGCUAACUGCGUGCCAGCAGCCGCGGUAAUACGUAGGGUGCGAGCGUUAAUCGGAAUUACUGGGCGUAAAGCGUGCGCAGGCGGCUUUGUAAGUCAGAUGUGAAAUCCCCGAGCUCAACUUGGGAACUGCGUUUGAAACUACAAGGCUAGAAUAUGUCAGAGGGGGGUAGAAUUCCACGUGUAGCAGUGAAAUGCGUAGAGAUGUGGAGGAAUACCAAUGGCGAAGGCAGCCCCCUGGGAUAAUAUUGACGCUCAUGCACGAAA